AACUUUCGACAACGGAUCACUUGGUUCCAGCAUCGAUGAAGAACGCAGCGAAAUGCGAUAACUAAUGUGAAUUGCAGAAUUCAGUGAAUCAUCGAGUCUUUGAACGCACAUUGCGCCCCUCGGUAUUCCGGGGGGCAUGCCUGUUCGAGCGUCAUUACACCCCUCAAGCUCAGCUUGGUAUUGGGUCCUCGCCUCCCGGGGCGUGCCCGAAAAUUAGUGGCGGUCCGGAGCGACUUUAAGCGUAGUAAAAUUUAUCCCGCUUUGAAAGUUCGCUCCGCGGCUGGCCAAGUAACCCCGAUUACUUCAAUAAUUGACCUCGGAUCAGGUAGGGAUACCCGCUGAACUUAAGCAUAUCAAUAAGCGGAGGCU
rnacentral:misc_RNA from 1 species